CUGCAUUUUAAUGUUAUUUUUGCUGUCUCAUGUCGCCUUCUAGAUUAUGAGCUCCAUGAAGCUAGGAAGCUUCUCUUAAUUUAAUUUAAAAAUUCCCACAACUCCUUAUUUUCUCAGUUGUCUUUAAUUAGUGAGUGAAGAUUCAUUGACUAUCUAUUACAUUUAAUGAGGAAAAUCGUAUACAGAAAAACUGCUUUGAGUCUGGCUCUUUUUGGAAUUUGUGUUGCUAGUAUUUGUGAUGAGCAGAGUAACCUAUUGUUGCCCUCACUAUCCACAGUCUUUGUGCACAUGGCUCAACCACUAUUUUCACCGAACAGUUUGCAUGGCCUAUCUAGCAGUUUUUCUUAAUAAUACUUAAUGAUCAGUGAUCAAUCUGAUCACUGUAGCUGAGUUCUUAGUUAUUUCUCAGGACUUUGAGUCCCCUCCAGCCGACUGAAGGUCAACUCCUGCCUCCCGUCCACACCAGAAUUUUGCUGGGGCCGGGGCAGAGCAAGACCACUCCUGGCUGUGUGGAUUUCCUCCUGAUUCUGAAUGAGAACUAGUAGGAUCUUACUUGUUCACAAAGCAAUCUGCAAAACUACCCGUGCAUGCUCAGGGACAAACUCACCAAUUAAAAUGGAAAGUGAAGGUAAUGGCUUGUAGAUUUGCAUACAGUAAAUUUUAAAUAUUGAUUUGCUCCCUUCUCUUAAGAGUCCUUGGCAUAUGCAAUAUUAUUAGUUCUUCCUUAGUUCCUUGCUAUCAAGGUUAAUAAUCAGACAAGAAAACAGAUUCUAAGUUAAAUUAAGAUGAAUUCCUCCUUUAAUUACUGCUUACAUCUGAACCCAUGUCUUAUCUCUCUUUCCAGUACCCAGUGUUCUUCCUGACAAUCAGAUAAAACAAAUUGCUGGAGGUUGCGACCAGGCCUCAGAGAAAUAGGUUUUGCAAAGAAAAAAAGAAUGAUGUUCCAAACACCAAAACGCAUACAAAUUUAUCAUGGAUCCUGUCCUCGUCAAUACGUAACUUCCACCCUUCACAUCCCUCGGGCUGCAGGCUGCCAUUUUUACAAAGCUUGCUUUGCAAGACCAGCCUUGGUUGGAUUCAUCUUAUUUACUUGUCCAACCUCAGGGGAAGAGUGUGGUCAAAGGUGAUGCAGUCCAGGUGACGAUAUUUGCAUUACCUGCGGCUCCCUAGAGGACCCUUGCUUCUUGUCCUUUAACCCCACAUUGUAUGGUGUGAAAUGAUCUUUCCUUGCGAUAGACUGAUCAUCCCUAAUCUUAGAAAGGAAGCUGUAAAACAAAGUUGGACGUUUUCUACUUAAUUAUUGAUCACUGAGUCGUACCAACCUCUGAACAUUUCUCUGGUGAUUGGAGACAGAGGCCCUUUGCUUGUCAAGGUGUUUUCAUUCCAUCACUAUACCUAGCGGUUUCUAUGGUUGUACAUAGUUUAAAAGUCACAUAUAUAAAUAUAAUUAGAUUGUUUAGGUCAUUUGAACAUUUAACAGAUGCUCUGUAUAAACUGAUGCUUAUUUAACAUAUUCAACUAUUCUGCAUGUGAUAAAUCAUACCACUCAUCUUGACUAAUCAAGAUUUGAAAUUUUUUUCUCUUCCUACCUUCCUACAUACAUAUAUAAAUACAUAUGCAUGUAUUUAAAAUGUAUGUUUAUAAAUAGCUUUAUUCAAAUUAAAUGAAAUUUUUAAUAAUUUUUCUCAUGACAUCCUCUUAAUUUUAGAUAAUAAAUC
ensembl:lncRNA